rnacentral:rRNA from 1 species
GAUUCUGGCUCAGGAUGAACGCUAGCUACAGGCUUAACACAUGCAAGUCGAGGGGCAGCAUUGGGAUAGCUUGCUAUCCAGAUGGCGACCGGCGCACGGGUGCGUAACACGUAUCCAAUCUACCCAUGGCUCAGGGAUAGCCUUUCGAAAGAAAGAUUAAUACCUGAUGGUCUUAUCUGGAGACAUCUCCUAGUAAGUAAAGAUAUAUCGGCGAUGGAUGAGGAUGCGUCCGAUUAGCUUGUUGGCGGGGUAACGGCCCACCAAGGCAUCGAUCGGUAGGGGUUCUGAGAGGAACGGUCCCCCACACUGGAACUGAGACACGGUCCAGACUCCUACGGGAGGCAGCAGUGAGGAAUAUUGGUCAAUGGGCGAAGGCCUGAACCAGCCAAGGUUAAGCGUGAAGGAAGACUGCCCUACGGGUUGUUAAACUUCUUUUGUAUGGGAAUAAAGUGUCCUACGUGUAGGAUUUUGUAUGUACCUUACGAAUAAGCAUCGGCUAAUUCCGUGCCAGCCGCAGC